rnacentral:tRNA from 1 species
AAGGUCUUAUGUUAAGCAAACAAAUAGCCUUCAAAGCUAAAAUUAAAAGUAAUAUCCUUUUAGGCCUUA